rnacentral:rRNA from 1 species
UUGACGGAGAGUUUGAUCCUGGCUCAGGACGAACGCUGGCGGCGGGCCUAAUACAUGCAAGUCGAACGCAGUCGACCUUCGGGUCAUAUGACUGAGUGGCGAACGGGUGAGUAACACGUGAGAAACCUGCCCCGAAGACUGGAAUAACCCGAGGAAACUCGGGCUAAUACCGGAUGUCCCCAGAUGGCCGCAUGGCCGACUGAGGAAAUGCUCCGGCGCUUUGGGAGGGUCUCGCGGCCUAUCAGCUUGUUGGUGAGGUAACGGCUCACCAAGGCUUCGACGGGUAGCUGGUCUGAGAGGACGAUCAGCCACACUGGGACUGAGAUACGGCCCAGACUCCUACGGGAGGCAGCAGUAGGGAAUCUUGCGCAAUGGGCGAAAGCCUGACGCAGCCACGCCGCGUGAGUGAUGAAGGCCUUCGGGUCGUAAAGCUCUUUCAGCAGGGACGAAAAUGACGGUACCUGCAGAAGAAGCCCCGGCCAACUACGUGCCAGCAGCCGCGGUAACACGUAGGGGGCAAGCGUUGUCCGGAUUUAUUGGGCGUAAAGGGCUCGUAGGCUGUUCAGUAAGUCAGGUGUGAAAACUCGAGGCUCAACCUCGAGANGCCACUUGAUACUGCUGUGACUAGAGUUCGGUAGAGGAGUGUGGAAUUCCUAGUGUAGCGGUGAAAUGCGCAGAUAUUAGGAGGAACACCAACAGCGAAGGCAGCACUCUGGGCCGAUACUGACGCUGAGGAGCGAAAGCGUGGGGAGCGAACAGGAUUAGAUACCCUGGUAGUCCACGCNGUAAACGNUGNGNNCUAGNNGCUGGGAUCNAGUCAACGGAUUCNGNGUCGNAGCUAACGCAUUAAGNNCNCCGCCUGGGNAGUACGGNCGCAAGNNUAAAACUCAAANNAAUUGACGGGGGCCCGCACAAGCGGUGGAGCAUGUGGUUUA